UACGGAGGGUGCAAGCGUUAUCCGGAUUCACUGGGUUUAAAGGGAGCGUAGGUGGGUUGGUAAGUCAGUGGUGAAAUCCCCGAGCUUAACUUGGGAACUGCCAUUGAUACUAUCAGUCUUGAAUACUGUGGAGGUUAGCGGAAUAUGUCAUGUAGCGGUGAAAUGCUUACGAUAUGACAUAGAACACCAAUUGCGAAGGCAGCUUACUACACAGUUAUUGACGCUGAGGCACGAAAGCGUGGGGAUCAAACAGG
rnacentral:rRNA from 1 species